ACGAACGCUGGCGGCGUGCCUAAUACAUGCAAGUAGAACGCUGAAGGCGGAGCUUGCUCUUCUGGAUGAGUUGCGAACGGGUGAGUAACGCGUAGGUAACCUGCCUGGUAGCGGGGGAUAACUAUUGGAAACGAUAGCUAAUACCGCAUAACAGUAGAUGUUGCAUGACAUUUACUUAAAAGGUGCAAUUGCAUCACUACCAGAUGGACCUGCGUUGUAUUAGCUGGUUGGUGGGGUAACGGCUCACCAAGGCGACGAUACAUAGCCGACCUGAGAGGGUGAUCGGCCACACUGGGACUGAGACACGGCCCAGACUCCUACGGGAGGCAGCAGUAGGGAAUCUUCGGCAAUGGACGGAAGUCUGACCGAGCAACGCCGCGUGAGUGAAGAAGGUUUUCGGAUCGUAAAGCUCUGUUGUAAGAGAAGAACGAGUGUGAGAGUGGAAAGUUCACACUGUGACGGUAUCUUACCAGAAAGGGACGGCUAACUACGUG
rnacentral:rRNA from 1 species